UGGGCGGGGCCGGGGCAGCCAUGGCUGCGGGGGGGCGGCCUCCAAAAUGGCGGCUUGAAAAUGGCGGCGGCGUCCUCAUUCCCGCUAGGUCUGGCCGUUCCGCCUCUAGUGGUAGUGAGGCAGACGAGCGGUAGAGCUGCGCUGGGAGGGGCUGAGUGCGGGCUGCUAGUGGUUUCCGAGCGCUUCCCUUUGUGUUGCACUCGUCUUUCUGCCGCGGAGGAGUAAAUGCCUGUUGAAGGAAGCCAAAGGAAGCCCUCCAGCUACUCCAUCCAGAGAGUCAGGUGGUACCAGGAUGUUGCAACUGUUGCAGCUCCAGGCUUCCAGGGUCCUACCUUGCGCUGAAACUUGAACUUCCUUUGAUCUAGCUGGCCAUACUCCUGCUCAAAUGUUUGGCCUACUGGAGGUCAGCACAAACAGAUCCUUGAGGUCGGGAAGCUGUGAGAGAGGAGGCAGCAACUGGCAAGAGGUGUUCAGCUGAGAUGGGAAACUGCCCCUGUGUUGUCCAAACAUAACCACAGUCCAUUCUUCACCUGAAGUCUCAAAACACCUGUACCAAGCAUUGGUCAGUCUCAUCUUAUGGGCCCAGAAAGAAGGCCAAAAGAGAAUUCAAGCUGAAUUUCUGAAAGAGUUGUAAGAUAGAGCACUUCACCCUGGAGAAACCCCAGACAGCUUGCAAGCACUGACUCCAGUGUGUAGAAGCUUGAGAUUGAGAUUUGCAGCUGCAGUUGGCUACUACAUGCCUAUGACGUGGCUGUGAUAGGACUUGGAAGAAGGGACAUAAAAUCUUAGUGGAAAUGAGCUUUGGAAAGGCUGAGAAAAGAAGAGAAGUAAGAAAAGAAGGCCACCAACAGGACCAAGGCUGGGUGCUGCAGCAUCCUCGGGAUGCCCUUGAAUCCAGAGAGGAUGCGAGACUGCUGCAGCCCCCAGCGCAAGGGCUGGGGCUGGCUUCUGCUCAGGAGGCACAGAGCUAUGUUCCUAGCCUUGGAAACCCCUGACUCAACACACAGCACUGGUAAUCCUAUAAACCAUGAUCUGUCUCAGGUUCACGUUGCUUUUGGUGGGGAAUGAAAUGCCUUUUCUCGAAAGAUAGUUUGUUAUUGCAGUGGCUGUGGGACUGGCUGUACUGCUGGCCUCUUCCCUGUCUCUCUGGAUGCUUUUUCUUCGCUGAUGGCAGAAUUUCCAUGAAUCUUCCUUUCCUCCCUGGACUUAAUAGUCCUCGUUAAUAGUCCUGCAGCCUGCGGCUUUGCCAGGCAUGUCUGCGCACAGUUUUCCCCUUUCUUGAGCACCAAAUGCCAGUGUCUCAGUCCGGCUCUCCAGACAGUCACUCUCUUUCAUUACUUCUUACAGUCCUGCCACAGCCUUUUAACUUUUCUGUUCUCAACAAAACCAGCUGGACAAAAUCGGCUUUGUUUAUUUUCCUUCCUCCUCCCCAGGCAGGGAGCAGAGCUAACAGCCUGGCACUGUCCCUGGCAGCCCCGUGCGUUUGCUCAGAGGUGGGCUGCCACACGCUGGGAUCUGCUUUGAUUUUCCUUCCUGCUCUGUUGGAUAUGGGGCUUAGCACAAAAAGCAAAUAUCCUGAAUGGUAGUUCGGUAUCUGUAUGUGAUAUUGGGGGUGCAUCUGAUUCCCUAGCAGAAGCGUCAAACAGCUGCUGCUGGCACCCAGUCCAUGUGAGUGAUGAUUACACAGAGUGUAACCUUCAGAAACAUCACUUAGUCCCCGUUCUCUGGGGAUACAAGUUUUAAAAUGUAAAAGAAUUCUUAGCACUACCUCUGCGAAUGCAGUAUAAAUCCAAGAAGAAGGGUGUGUUACCUGUUAGUACGACAGCAGAACAGACAAUAGCUGAGCUGUCAGAACGUGCUAUCCCAGGAAUAUGUUGCCAGAGCUCCUUUACUGUAUUUUCAGUCCAGUGGGGUCCCAGCAGGCACCUCUAAAAGCCCGUGUCCCAUCCCCAAGCAGCAGCUGAGAGCAUCCCUCCCUGCUGCCUCUUGGAAAGCAGGAGGAGCCGUCUCCCAGCUUGGCCGUGCAUUUGGAGAAGCUGUGCCAGGCGUGGCUGGAGCUGAGCGCUUGGAUGGUGGCCUUCCCCAAGGCCGAGAGGCAAAUGCAAGCAUCAGGUGCCACAAAGCACACCUUUGUUACAUGCUUCUCCUGAGGCAAGCAAAAAUCAGGUGAAAAUCAUCCCUAAAGCUUGUAGAGAGCCACAAAUGGGAAAACCGGGAGAGAGAGAAGGACAAAGGAAUUCCCGGCAUUUGGGAAUAAUACCUUCCUGUAACAGAUUUGGAAUCUGAGACAGCCGCUACCAAAAUCAACUGAAAAAGAACCUGCUGGCUUCUGCGAGCUGAGGAUGAGCUGCUGAUAAUGAGCCUUGCUUAUCGCUCGCCCAAGGCGCUGCAGUUGGGCUGGCAGAGGUGUGCCCUCGGCCCCAUGAAGCCUGCGCGUGCUGCCAAAAAAUGAGGGCUGGGAGCAGAGCCUGUGUCUGCCACUCGCCCCAGUUCGGUGAGGAUGCUUCCAGCUUCAUAACCCCGGUGAUCAAAGCCUUUGUUUGAAUCCUGCUGUCGGGAGAGGCUGCGCUGCUCUCCUGAAAGCAUAGCGCUGCGCAGCUGCCCCAAACCCUGCUUUUCUCAGCUGCAAAUUCUUGGCACCCCGAUCUUCUCCCUCCUGCCCAACGCAGAAGAGCAGCUGAUGAUGGGGAGAGAGAAGAAAGAGAUCUUUCCAAACGGUCAUUUUAUUUUCCCAUGAGCCAGAGAUUUGACCUAACAUAUAAAUUUGAGUGAUCUGGUGCCAUGUUUUUCAUCCUCCAAACACAUUUUAUUUUUCUUUACCCUUCGGAAAGAUGGGUAUUGGAGGCACGUGAGAGCAGCCAAAGCAGCUGCCUGAUAAGAUCUUUACAAUCCAUUUGCGCAACCGUGCCUUUUGCAAAGAGAAAGAAAGUGUUAACGAGUUGACAGCAGCUCUGCCUUGCAGUGAGCUGCGCUGCUCUCCGCAAUGCUGCUGCAGGGAGGGGAGAGCGGGGUGGUGACAGGCAGGAGACCUUGAAAAAUGCUUUGUUCAACCCAGUUACCGAGUCCCUGCUUCAUUAACACACCACAUCCUAACAAGCAAUGGAUUCCGAAGGAUCCUGAAUCCAUAGGGAUGCGGGGCAGUGCGUUGCUAUUGGGUUUUCAAGGAUGAGAGUCCUUGGGAUGGACAGGAAUAAGGUUUAAACAAAAAGGCUUGAAGCAAAAAGGAGCAUUUCCUGGGCAUGCGGGUUGUGUGUCGCCGUGGUUCCAGAGCAUGACCUGGGGACUGCAAAUGAAGUUCCAGCAGUGUUUUCUCCCUCUGACGUUGCAAUCUGCCACCAAAUUCUCCAGCUAUGCAAAUCUGCCCCAUCUCGGUUCAGACCGCACACAAAGAGACUGCUCAGGACAAAACCGACUGAGAGCAGAUUGCAAGAACAACUCAGACUAGCAACUGAAUAUUUUCUUUCAUCCCUUGCUCUUUUGCAUUCAGUGAAUUCGUUCCACAUUAAUGUAAGAAACAGCUGCAUCAGCACGAGUGCCGAGGCUGGAACCCUAUUAAUAUUUAUGCCUGGAGAGCCGUGCACACAGGCACCAAGUGGCCCUCCUGCCAUUGGCUCAGGGACCACGGCACUGCUACAGCGCCUUGCCAUGCCUGGUGUUCAUGCGACGAGAUUUAUGAGAGGAAGGAUCGAUUCCUCGUCAGCACUCCUGCACCAUCUCAGGGAAACUCUGCCCUUUGCCUCCCGCCUGCUCUUUGCUUCUAAUUGCUCAAUCAUUUCCUAAUCACGGACACCAUUUUUUCUCUCUCUUCUGUACUGCAGUGGUUUAUACUCAUCUACUACACAUGGUUUGAGACUCUGUUAGAUGCUCAUGCCACCCUUCGCUGCUGCAAGGGCACACCUAUGAGCCUCGGCACAGAUGAGCCAAAACAAGAAAUGCCCACACUGCAAGCAGCCGUCCUUCACAGCGCUCCCUCUUUUCUUCCCUUAGGAUCCUAGGGAAAGGCUUUCCGUGCCACCGCUGAUCCUCCCCUGCCCUGGAGCUACUCAUGAUCCUGUUCCUGUAAUCCUCUUUCUGUCUGCAGUUUUACCUUCUCCUAUCUGGCGGGGCUCUGCUCUAAUGACUUUCUCGGAGCUUAUCGAUUUUCUCAGGAUCCUGGGCCAGGCUGAGCACCAGGGCUGUGCAGGAGUGGGGGCAAGCUUGCAGAGAGGGCACUCCAAGCACACAGCCUCGUCCUGCUUUGCACCCUUUCCCACUAGCCAGCCCCGGCUGGGACAAAAUACUUCCUCAGCAUGGACACCACCAGGAAAUCCUCCCACAUCAUAGAAUCUUCAGGGCUGAAAAAGAUCGCUAAGAUUAUCCAGUCCAACCAUCAACCUACCACCACCAUGCCCACUAACCGUGUCCCUACGCCGUGGAACUCCCUGGCCUCUGCCAUAGUUUCCAGGUCUUUGAGCCAUUCGCAUCCUCCUGAAGUGGCCCCGGACAAGGAUGUGGCAUGGGCACGUGGUUUCCAAAAGGAAGAGCAAGUUCUUCCUUGGGAAAAGCAUCCUGAUGAGCACAGAGUGUGCCGCAGCACAUCACAUCAAUGCAGAUAUCGCAAAGCGAGACAACUGAGUCCUUCCCUGGGGCUUUCAUUAGCCGCCCUUGGCCAUGUUCUGCCCCCUGCGAGGGCCUCUGGCUUCCAUCAGCCACCACUCCGACAGCAGAGGGCUGAUGGGGAUCACACCCAGCUCCCAGCUGGGAGGAUGCAAAUCCUGACAGCACCGGGGAGAGGAUGUGUUGGAGAAAACCAGCCUGAUCCUCCCAGCUUCGCUGAACGAGCUGUGGGCUGAGGACACAUUGUGCCUCCUCUCACUCAUACGGCCGGCAGGGAUGGCUGCACAAUAACCCAGGAGCUGCCACUGCCUGGCUCAUGUAGCCGCGCCGCUUUUACGCCAUGGGAAAUCAGCCCUGGGAGCGAAAUCGUCGCGGGGCUUUUUGUUUCCCUCCCUUUGCUGCUCAGCCUGCUUCUGCCACCGGGCCGGUUGCCUGGGGAACUGCUGAGGGUGGCAUCCAGCCCGCAGCCGGCAGACACGGGGGUGCAGGGAGGAAAAGACGGGCAACGGAAAGGAGCAGCCCAACAAGCCAUGGCCUCAUGGAGCAUUUGCAGCGAGUGUGCCGAGCCCUGCCCAAAGGCUGCCGCAGUUAUCUGGGUGGCUCCCGUGCACGGCCGCAGCUCUCAGCUGGGAUACAUAGAAAAACAUAGACCUGCUUUCCCCCCCUCGCCCCCCAGUAUUUCAUUUGGAAAUAGCCUCUCUUCUUUUUCCUUUUCUCUUUUUUCUUUUUCCCUUCCAGUCUCGGCAAGUUCUAUAGAAAACACAGACAUGAAUUCCUCCCUUUCACAACUGCGAAUUAAUUUCUUUUAGGAACAAGCAGGCAGGGUGGGUUUCUUUCUGGUGCUAUUAAUCCGUUCUCUUGAAGUGGGUUUUAAAAUGGCUUCCUUCGGAGCCUGGAGCUGCUGGCAAUGAGCUUAGUGUAGGUAAGGAGGAUGAGCGAGAUCAGCUACUCCCCGCAAUGCCAAUAAUUCUUGUAACGAGCAACUAACGCACAGCGUGGGGCACUCAGAACACCUGGAGGUAACAGUGGCGGUACCGGCAUUUUGCACCGGUUCCGCUGCAGCCAAGCUGAGCCUUCUUUUCAGCAGCAACGGGGGAGAACGGCAUCACUUUGUCAGCACCUGCAGCAUGCGGUGGUCCGAGGGAGCCGCUGUUCUGCGAGCUGCUUGUUAAGCAAGUGACGGUAGAUGCCGACUGUACGCUUAGCGUGCCGCAAAAACCAUUCGCAUGGAAUUCAAACUACACAUUGUCUGCAAAGCGUGGUCAGCCCAGACAAUGGAAUCGCUCCCGGCUCAGCCCGGUGCAAGCAGCUUUGAUCGGGAGUGCAAGUGACGGGAUUUUUCCCCAAAUCCCCGUGGAAGAGACAAACCCGCGGGUGCGUUUCCAGCUCUUCCCCCCCUCCACUCGACCCACGCUGGGGCGCUAACAAAGGGAGGUGGGACGCUCUGGCAAAGAGGCAGGAGGAGCAGAAAUCAGACCCACGGAGACCCACGCGCGGUGCGGUUGGGUCGCGGGGGGGGUAGGGGGGGUGUGGCACGGAGCGGCGGCGGGGACAAAGAAGUCGGGCGGCGACAAAGGGCACAGAAGGGCGCGCUGGGUGCCCCCGGGGCAGCUGCACCCCGACACAGAGGAGCCCCGACGUCGGGCGGCCCGCGGUCCCCGGCUCGGGGCACGGCGCUUUCUUCACGCGUGGGGGAAAAACCAAAAAGCGGCCCCCCCCGAGGCCACCCUCAUCGCCCCGCUACCGCCCGCGUGCCCUGCAGUUGGGGAGG